rnacentral:snoRNA from 1 species
UCUGGCAGUGACGACACACUUGCCCUCACUGAGAACAACGUUCACUGAGGAGAGCGGUUUCAUGCGCUCAGUGGAGCCGAGCCAGA